UUCCGGUUGAUCCUGCGGACCCCACUGCUAUCGGGGUGGGACUAAAACAUGCGAGUCGAGCGCCUCCAGGCCAUGGUGGAGGCGCGGCGCACGGCUCAGUAACACGUGGCUAACCUACCCUUAGGACGGGGAUAACCCCGGGAAACUGGGGCUAAUACCCGAUAGGUGAGGAGGUCUGGAAUGACUCCUCACCGAAAGGGUGUAGGGACCAUGCCUCCCUACACCGCCUAAGGAUGGGGCCGCGGCCGAUCAGGUAGUUGAUGAGGUAACGGCUCACCAAGCCUAUAACCGGUACGGGCCGUGAGAGCGGGAGCCCGGAGAUGGGCACUGAGACAAGAGUCCAGGCCCUACGGGGCGCAGCAGGCGCGAAACCUCCGCAAUGCGGGAAACCGCGACGGGGGGACUCCCAGUGCCUACGCUAUGCGUAGGCUGUUCCCGAGCCUAAAAAGCUCGGGGAGUAAGGGCUGGGCAAGACGGGUGCCAGCCGCCGCGGUAAUACCCGCAGCCCGAGUGGUGGCCACUUUUAUUGGGCCUAAAGCGUCCGUAGCCGGCCCGGUAAAUGCUUGGGUAAAUCGUCUGGCCUAACCAGACGAAUUCCGGGCAGACUGCCGGGCUAGGGACCGGAGGAGGGAGAGGGUACUCCAGGGGUAGGGGUGAAAUCAGCAAGGUGAGUUAUUCACCUUGCAGUCACAAUCCUGUAAUCCCUGGAGGACCACCGGUGGCGAAGGCGCUCUCCUAGGACGGGUCCGACGGUGAGGGACGAAAGCCAGGGGAGCGAACCGGAUUAGAUACCCGGGUAGUCCCGGCUGUAAACGAUGCGGGCUAGGUGUUGGCACGGCUACGAGCCGUGCCAGUGCCGCAGGGAAGCCGUUAAGCCCGCCGCCUGGGGAGUACGGCCGCAAGGCUGAAACUUAAAGGAAUUGGCGGGGGAGCACCACAAGGGGUGAAGCUUGCGGUUUAAUUGGAUCAACGCCGGA
rnacentral:rRNA from 1 species